UACGUAGGUGACAAGCGUUGUCCGGAUUUACUGGGCGUAAAGAGCGCGCAGGCGGUCGAUCAAGUCGAGUGUGAAAGCCCCCGGCUCAACUGGGGAGGGUCAUUCGAUACUGUCAGGCUAGAAGGCAGGAGAGGGAAGUGGAAUUCCCGGUGUAGUGGUGAAAUGCGUUAGAUAUCGGGAGGAACACCAGUGGCGAAGGCGACUUUCUGGCCUGUUCUUGACGCUGAGGCGCGAAAGCCAGGGGAGCGAACGGG
rnacentral:rRNA from 1 species